AGAACGAACGCUGGCGGCAUGCCUAACACAUGCAAGUCGAACGCUUGCCGGGCUUCGGUUCGGCAGGAGUGGCGCACGGGUGAGUAGCGCGUGGGAACCUGCCCUGUUGUGGGGGAUAACCGAGGGAAACUUCGGCUAAUACCGCAUGCGCCCCCGGGAGCGAUCCUGGGGGGAAAGAUUUAUCGCAGCAGGAGGGGCCCGCGUCGGAUUAGGUAGUUGGUAGGGUAACGGCCUACCAAGCCUUUGAUCCGUAGCUGGUCUGAGAGGAUGAUCAGCCACACUGGGACUGAGACACGGCCCAGACUCCUACGGGAGGCAGCAGUGGGGAAUAUUGGACAAUGGGCGCAAGCCUGAUCCAGCAAUGCCGCGUGAGUGAUGAAGGCCUUAGGGUUGUAAAGCUCUUUCGCCCGCGACGAUGAUGACGGUAGCGGGAGAAGAACGCCCCGGCUAACUUCGUGCCAGCAGCCGCGGUAA
rnacentral:rRNA from 1 species